rnacentral:rRNA from 1 species
GACGAACGCUGGCGGCGUGCCUAAUACAUGCAAGUAGAACGCUGAAGAGAGGAGCUUGCUCUUCUUGGAUGAGUUGCGAACGGGCGAGUAACGCGUAGGUAACCUGCCUUGUAGCGGGGGAUAACUAUUGGAAACGAUAGCUAAUACCGCAUAACAAUGGAUGACACAUGUCAUUUAUUUGAAAGGGGCAAUUGCUCCACUACAAGAUGGACCUGCGUUGUAUUAGCUAGUAGGUGAGGUAAUGGCUCACCUAGGCGACGAUACAUAGCCGACCUGAGAGGGUGAUCGGCCACACUGGGACUGAGACACGGCCCAGACUCCUACGGGAGGCAGCAGUAGGGAAUCUUCGGCAAUGGGGGCAACCCCGACCGAGCAACGCCGCGUGAGUGAAGAAGGUUUUCGGAUCGUAAAGCUCUGUUGUAAGUCAAGAACGGGUGUGAGAGUGGAAAGUUCACACUGUGACGGUAGCUUACCAGAAAGGGACGGCUAACUACGUG